rnacentral:rRNA from 1 species
AGCGAACGCUGGCGGCAGGCCUAACACAUGCCAGUCGAACGAACCUUUCGGGGUUAGUGGCGGACGGGUGAGUAACACGUGGGAACGUGCCUUUAGGUUCGGAAUAACUCAGGGAAACUUGUGCUAAUACCGAAUGUGCCCUUCGGGGGAAAGAUUAAUCGCCUUUAGAGCGGCCCGCGUCUGAUUAGCUAGUUGGUUGAGGUAAUGGCUCACCAAGGCGACGAUCAGUAGCUGGUCUGAGAGGAUGAUCAGCCACAUUGGGACUGAGACACGGCCCAAACUCAUACGGGAGGCAGCAGUGGGGAAUCUUGCGCAAUGGGCGAAAGCCUGACGCAGCCAUGCCGCGUGAAUGAUGAAGGUCUUAGGAGUGUAAAAUUCUUUCACCGGGGACGAUAAUGACGGUACCCUGAGAAGAAGCCCCGGCUAACUUCGUG